CACAUGUCCAUCACAGUACUAUUCACAAUAGCAAAGACAUGGAACAAACCUACGUGCCUAUCCAUGGUGGACUGGAUCAAGAAAAUAUGGUGCAUAUACACCAUGGAAUACUAUGCAUCCAUAAAAAAAAUCAUUUCCUUUGCAGCAACAUGGAUGCUGCUGGGGGCCAUUAUCUUAAGCAAAUUAACACAGGAAUAGAAAACUAAAUACCACAUGUUCUCACUUAUAAUUGGGACCUAAACAUUGCAUACUCACAGAAAGAAAGAUGGCAGUAAUAGAAAUGAGGAACUACUAGAGGUGAAAAGGAGAUAAGGGUUUAUUUCUCUAUUAAUGGAGAUUUCUAUUCCGGCAUACCACAUUUUACUGGACUUUGCUUUACUGUGCUGCUUCAGAGAUUUUGUGUUUGUUAGAAACUGAAAGUUUGUGGAAACCCUGCAUCAAGCAAUGAACAUUUGCAU
rnacentral:lncRNA from 1 species